GAGUUGCAAUAUGGUAACAUGGAGCGAAUCUCAAAAAGAUAGUCUCAGUUCGGACUGUGGGCUGCAACCCGCCCACACGAAGUCGGAGUUGCUAGUAAUCGUAGGUCAGCAUACUACGGUGAAUACGUUCCCGGGCCUUGUACACACCGCCCGUCAAACCAUGAGAGUUGGCAACACCCGAAGUCGGUAGUCUAACCGCAAGGAGGACGCCGCCGAAGGUGGGGUUGAUGAUUAGGGUUAAGUCGUAACAAGGUAUC
rnacentral:rRNA from 1 species